rnacentral:lncRNA from 1 species
CGGCUACGCCCACCUGGACCCAGUUUACCCUGUACUGUGCUGCAAAAUAUUACUUUCUCCCCAUCUGGAAUUCUUCCCUUCCUCCUUCCUGCCGCAGUGGUGUACUGAGCACUUUCACGUAAGAGUAUUCCUCCACUCGAACAACCCCCCGGAGAAGUACUGGUGUCACUGCCACCUGCGAGAGUUUGCGGCUACCUCCCCAAGAGGCAGUCCCAGGGUUAUUGUGACCUAUGAUGUUUAUUCAACUACUGUUGACGGGCUGCUGUGCACAGGGAACCUAGUAGGCAAGACCCCUGCCAUCGUGCAGCUUACUGUCAGGUUGACACAGACCUUAAGAAAGAACAAAAUUUUAAAUAAAUUAAAAACGAC